GCUAGGUCAUAGAUUUAAUUUGCAUUUAAAACGUUAACGGCCUAUUA
rnacentral:tRNA from 1 species